rnacentral:rRNA from 1 species
UACAGAGGGGGCGAUCGCUGAUCGGAAUUACUGGGCGUAAAGGGCGCGUAGGCGGCCUCUUAAGUCAGACGUGAAAUCCCCCGGCUCAACCGGGGAACUGCGUCUGAGACUGGGAGGCUCGAAUCCGGGAGAGGGAUGUGGAAUUCCAGGUGUAGCGGUGAAAUGCGUAGAUAUCUGGAGGAACACCGGUGGCGAAGGCGGCAUCCUGGACCGGCAUUGACGCUGAGGCGCGAAAGCCAGGGGAGCAAACGGG